rfam:Gossypium hirsutum cultivar TM-1 unplaced genomic scaffold scaffold1609.1, whole genome shotgun sequence
UGUUAAAAAAUUCAUUCAUUUCUAUCGUUAAAAAACUAGCAUGUUGACAGCAUAACCAAAUAAGACAUAUAGUGUACCACGUGUACAUCAUGUUGACAUACAGAGAUCAGUUUUUAAUAGUAGAAAUGGAAAUAAUUCUUAACA